AUUGAACGCUAGCGGCAGGCCUAACACAUGCAAGUCGAGCGGAGCGGCGGACGGGUGAGUAAUGCCUAGGAAUCUGCCGGGUUGUGGGGGAUAACGUCCGGAACCGGGCGCUACUACACCAUCCUAUCAGUUGAGUCUAGGUUGGAUUAGGUAGUUGGUGGGGUAAAGGCCUACCAAGGCGACGAUCCGUAACUGGUCUGAGAGGAUGAGCAGUCACACCGGAACUGAGACACGGUCCAGACUCCGACGAGAGGCAGCAGUGGGGAAUAUUGGACAAUGGGCGAAAGCCUGAUCCAGCCAUGCCGCGUGUGUGAAGAAGGUCUUCGGAUUGUAAAGCUCUUUAAGUUGAGAGGCGUUACCAACAGAAUAAGCACCGGCUAACUUCGUGCCAGCAGCCGCGGUAAUAC
rnacentral:rRNA from 1 species